rnacentral:rRNA from 1 species
UACGAAGGGGGCUAGCGUUGUUCGGAAUUACUGGGCGUAAAGCGCACGUAGGCGGCUUUGUCAGUCAGGGGUGAAAUCCCGGGGCUCAACCUCGGAAUUGCCUUUGAUACUGCGAAGCUUGAAUCCGUGAGAGGGUGGUGGAAUACCCAGUGUAGAGGUGAAAUUCGUAGAUAUUGGGUGGAACACCAGUGGCGAAGGCGGCCACCUGGCACGGUAUUGACGCUGAGGUGCGAAAGCGUGGGGAG